AAGGUCUGACCUGCUCAAUGAAAUUUUAAAUGGCCGCGGUAUUUUGACCGUGCAAAGGUAGCAUAAUCAUUAGUUUUUUAAUUGAAAGCUGGUAUGAAAGGUCGAAUGAGAAAAAAUCUGUCUCUUGAAAAUUUUAUUAGAAUUUUAUUUUUAAGUAAAAAAGCUUAAAUAAUAUUUAAAGACGAGAAGACCCUUUAGAGUUUUAUAUAAAUUAGUAAUUUAAAAUUUUAGAAUUAAUUAUUUAGGUUAAAAAUUUAUAUUUAAUUGGGGUGAUUGAAAAAUUUAAUUAACUUUUUCUUAUAAAACCAUUGAUUUAUGAAUAGUUGAUCCGUUUUUAACGAUUAUAAGAAUAAAUUACCUAAGGGAUAACAGCGUUAUUUUUCUUGAGAGUUCAAAUCGAAAGAAAAGAUUGCGACCUCGAUGUUGGAUUAAAAUUAAAUUAUGGUGCAGUAGUCAUAAAUUUAAGUCUGUUCGACUUUUAAAAUUUUACAUG
rnacentral:rRNA from 1 species